rnacentral:rRNA from 1 species
GGGGGGGGGGGGGGGGGGGGGGGGGGGGGGGGGGGGGGGGGGGGGGGGGGGGCGUGGGUGGGGUGCUCGGGUGGCGAGGGGGUGGGUGGCACGUGGGUAACCUGCCCUUGGCUUUGGGAUAGCUUCGGGAGACUGGGGCUAAUACCGGGUAGGAGCUCCUGCUGCAUGGUGGGGGUUGGAAAGUUUCGGCGGUUGGGGAUGGACUCGCGGCUUCUCAGCUUGUUGGUGGGGUAGUGGCUUACCAAGGCUUUGCCGGGGAGCCGGCCUGAGAGGGUGACCGGCCACAUUGGGACUGAGAUACGGCCCAGAAUCCUACGGGAGGCAGCAGGGGGGAAUAUUGCAAAAUGGGCGGAAGCCUGAGGCAGCAACGCCGCGUGCGGGAUGACGGCCUUCGGGUUGUAAACCGCUUUCGCCUGUGACGAAGCGUGAGUGACGGUAAUGGGUAAAGAAGCACCGGCUAACUACGUG